rnacentral:lncRNA from 1 species
CUAAUUACCAUCCAUCACCACACAUGUGCCUAAUCACCCCGUUCGCCCUCCUCCCUCCCCACUUCCCCUCUGGUAACCACCAAUCCACUCUCUGUCUCUAACAAAGAUAUUUUCUAAACUUUGUGGUUAUCAUGGAGCCAUAGCACACAGGGUCAAGCCUCAUGGUUAAAUAUUAUCUGCCUGCUUGCCUGGGAGAUUAAAACAAAAACAAAAUCAAAAAAGAAAAAAAGGAAAAGAAUCGAAAGAAUAAUAAUAACAAUAAAACAAGCCCCGCUCAUUUCUCCUUCUUGAGUGAGAAUCAAUGUAAAUAAGAUUAUCCCAGAAUAGAGUCUUCCACCUUCUCUCUUUUAUUUUCCUGAGAACUAUGACCUGCACACCACUUGAAUUCUCAAGAAAACUCUGGCAGCACAAGCCCUUUUUUGGGGGGCUGGGGGGAGGGAAGAUUAAUCCUGAGCCGACAUCAGCCACCAAUCCUCCUCCCUUUUCAG